rnacentral:misc_RNA from 1 species
GGGUUAUUAUGAUGCAGGAGAUGCAAUCAAGUUUAAUUUCCCUCAGUCAUUUGCUCUCACCAUGUUGAGUUGGAGUGUGAUCGAGUACAGUGCUAAAUAUGAAGCUGCUGGGGAGCUCGCUCAUGUUAAAGAUACUAUUAAGUGGGGUACUGAUUAUCUCCUGAAGACUUUCAAUUCCUCUGCUGAUACCAUAGACCGGAUUGCUGCACAGGUUGGAAAAGGGGAUACUACCGGAGGGGCUACUGACCCCAAUGAUCACUAUUGCUGGGUGCGUCCUGAAGACAUUGAUUACGCUCGGCCUGUGACUGAAUGUCACGGCUGCUCGGACCUUGCUGCAGAGAUGGCUGCUGCGCUGGCUUCUGCCUCCAUUGUUUUUAAGGACAACAAAGCUUACUCGCAAAAGCUUGUACAUGGUGCUAGAACUCUCUUCAAAUUUUCUAGAGACCAGCGUGGAAGAUACAGCGUCGGCAAUGAAGCUGAAACUUUCUAUAAUUCCACCGGUUAUUGGGAUGAGUUUAUAUGGGGUGCGGCUUGGCUGUAUUAUGCUACUGGAAAUUCUUCAUAUCUUCAGCUUGCUACAACACCUGGUAUUGCCAAACAUGCUGGUGCUUUCUGGGGAGGUCC